rnacentral:rRNA from 1 species
AUUGAACGCUGGCGGCAUGCCUUACACAUGCAAGUCGAACGGCAGCGGGGGAGAAGCUUGCUUUUCCUGCCGGCGAGUGGCGAACGGGUGAGUAAUACAUCGGAACGUGCCCUGUAGUGGGGGGUAACUAGUCGAAAGAUUAGCUAAUACCGCAUACGACCUGAGGGUGAAAGUGGGGGACCGCAAGGCCUCAUGCUAUAGGAGCGGCCGAUGUCUGAUUAGCUAGUUGGCGGGGUAAAGGCCUACCAAGGCGACGAUCAGGAGCUGGUCUGAGAGGACGAUCAGCCACACUGGGACUGAGACACGGCACAGACUCCUACGGGAGGCAGCAGUGGGGAAUUUUGGACAAUGGGCGAAAGCCUGAUCCAGCAAUGCCGCGUGUGUGAAGAAGGCCUUCGGGUUGUAAAGCACUUUUGUCCGGAAAGAAAUGGCUCUGGUUAAUACCUGGGGUCGAUGACGGUACCGGAAGAAUAAGGACCGGCUAACUACGUGCCAGCAGCCGCUGUAAUAC